rnacentral:piRNA from 1 species
UCAGCACCGUCGCACACAGAACAGCUACC